AGAGUUUGAUCCUGGCUCAGAAUCAACGCUGGCGGCGCGCCUAACACAUGCAAGUCGUACGAGAAAGCCGGGGCAACCUGGUGAGUACAGUGGCGUACGGGUGAGUAACACGUGGAUCAUCUACCCUUUCGUUCGGAAUAACUCUGGGAAACCGGAGCUAAUACCGGAUAAGCUCGAGAGAGGAAUGCGUCUCUGCGAAAGCAGGGCCGCGCUGAAGGAGGAGUCCGCGGCCGAUUAGUUAGUUGGUAGGGUAAAGGCCUACCAAGACAAAGAUCGGUAGUCGGCCUGAGAGGGCACACGGCCACACUGGCACUGAAACACGGGCCAGACUCCUACGGGAGGCAGCAGUGGGGAAUCUUGCACAAUGGGGGAAACCCUGAUGCAGCGACGCCGCGUGAGCGAUGAAGCCCUUCGGGGUGUAAAGCUCUUUCGGCGGGGAAGAUUAUGACGGUACCUGCAGAAGCAGCUGCGGCUAACUACGUGCCAGCAGCCGCGGUAAUACGUAGGCAGCAAGCGUUGUUCGGAGUUACUGGGCGUAAAGGGUGUGUAGGCGGUUCUCUAAGUUUGGUGUGAAAUCUCCCGGCUUAACUGGGAGGGUGCGCCGAAAACUGGAGAGCUAGAGUGCGGGAUGGGAGAGUGGAAUUCCUGGUGUAGCGGUGAAAUGCGUAGAUAUCAGGAGGAACACCGGUGGUGUAGACGGCUCUCUGGACCGUAACUGACGCUGAGACACGAACGCGUGGGUAGCAAACAGGAUUAGAUACCCUGGUAGUCC
rnacentral:rRNA from 1 species